CCAUCGCUCAACGGAUAAAAGCUACCCUGGGGAUAACAGGCUUAUCUCCCCCAAGAGUCCACAUCGACGGGGAGGUUUGGCACCUCGAUGUCGGCUCAUCACAUCCUGGGGCUGUAGUAGGUCCCAAGGGUUGGGCUGUUCGCCCAUUAAAGUGGUACGCGAGCUGGGUUCAGAACGUCGUGAGACAGUUCGGUCCCUAUCCGUCGCAGGCGUAGGAAAUUUGAGAAGACCUGUCCUUAGUACGAGAGGACCGGGAUGGACGUACCUCUGGUGUACCAGUUGUCCUGCCAAGGGCAUGGCUGGGUAGCUAUGUACGGAAUGGAUAAGCGCUGAAAGCAUCUAAGCGCGAAGUCAACUUCAAGAUAAGAUUUCCCACCGCAAGGGUAAGACCCCAGAAAGACUAUCUGGUUGAUAGGUCGAAGGUGUAAGUGCAGCAAUGUAUUUAGCUUAUCGAUACUAAUAGGUCGAGGACUUGACCAAU
rnacentral:rRNA from 1 species